GGUAUGCUAUUGUUUUUUUUAAUUUUUUCAAUUUUUUUUUGAGGGGGCACUUUGACAUCCACAAGCCAAUCUAGUUACAAGAAGGCAUAAAUCUUUACAGCUGGCAUCUCCAACACUUGGCAACUCACACCAAAUGAUCUAGACUGAUCAACAGCAACAGUCAUGGAGGAGAAGCUCUUGGCUCGCGAGGCUGCGAGAUAACGACGCACUCGUUGGCUGAGCUGUAAAGUUAGCUAGCUCAGUGUUGCUAAGUGAGUUUUUUAGGGCUUUUUCUUUAAAUUUGAGAGACGACAGACAACGGCAACUCACAUCAAAGCACCACAGGACCAGGAUGAGACAAGAGGAAGUCUAUUUCUCAGGAGCUGGAUUUAAGAAGGGUCAGGCAGCAUUCCUUCGGUGCCCUGGGGAUCUCCGCCGAAGAAGGCAACAUCAUUCACCAAGACUCAGAUAUACUACAGCAUAUGCUACCUUCAUUUCCACCCCCCACCAAUGAUCAAAAGGGAGCAUAAAAAAACGGUGACAGACAUAUGGGCAGACUCACAUUACUUUGGCAUUAGUGCAUACCUCUCAGUGUCAGGGGUGAAUGAGUGCAGGAGGAGAGAGGAGCAGUGCAGAUGUUCUGAUCAAACAUGAUGAUAAUGCAGAUUAGGCACCUCGAAUGACUCGUUUUUGAAAACCGAAUGGCGUCUGGUUGACAGAUACUGUAUAUAUAUAUACACACGGCAUUCCAGUGUUUUCAGUCUAUGCUGUGGUUGUCUGUGUCUGAGCAUUGACUAAAAAUGACAUGAAUGUCCUUGAUAAUCUCCGACAUCAUUGUGUUUAUUGAACUUGAUAUAUUGCUCAAGGGCAGACCACCUUCACUCCCACUCCUCCGCUCAUCUCUCAGUAUUCUAACCGCAGCUGUAGAGUGAAAUAUCAGCUUUUAUUGAUA